rnacentral:rRNA from 1 species
GAUGAACGCUGGCGGCGUGCCUAAUACAUGCAAGUCGAGCGAACGGACGAGAAGCUUGCUUCUCUGAUGUUAGCGGCGGACGGGUGAGUAACACGUGGAUAACCUACCUAUAAGACUGGGAUAACUUCGGGAAACCGGAGCUAAUACCGGAUAAUAUUUUGAACCGCAUGGUUCAAAAGUGAAAGACGGUCUUGCUGUCACUUAUAGAUGGAUCCGCGCUGCAUUAGCUAGUUGGUAAGGUAACGGCUUACCAAGGCAACGAUGCAUAGCCGACCUGAGAGGAUGAUCGGCCACACUGGAACUGAGACACGGUCCAGACUCCUACGGGAGGCAGCAGUAGGGAAUCUUCCGCAAUGGGCGAAAGCCUGACGGAGCAACGCCGCGUGAGUGAUGAAGGUCUUCGGAUCGUAAAGCUCUGUUAUUGGGGAAGAACAUAUGUGUAAGUAACUGUGCACAUCUUGACGGUACCUAAUCAGAAAGCCACGGCUAACUACGUG